AACCAUAGAAACCUGCGGAGUACCUGCGGAGGGAUCAUUACAGAGUUGCAAAACUCCCUAAACCAUUGUGAACGUUACCUAAACCGUUGCUUCGGCGGGCGGCCCGGGUCCUUCCCGGCGCCCAACGGCCCUCGCGGGCGCCCGCCGGAGGUAAACCAAACUAUUGCAUUGUAUGGCCUCUCUGAGUCUUCUGUACUGAAUAAGUCAAAACUUUCAACAACGGAUCUCAGAUCGGAAGAG
rnacentral:misc_RNA from 1 species